CCACAAGUCUCUCAAAGACCCAGGAAGGAGUAGCUCUGCCAUUUUCUUCCUGAAUACACAGCCUCUGUCAGUGCUGCAGAAGAGAAUGCAGGGACCGUCUCACUCCUGCUGUUCACAUCACUUCCGCGCACAGACUCACUGGCAUGGCUCCUGUGUCCAGAAUCUACAAGGAGAAGGAAGUAUGAGGAGGAUCCAUAGGAAGAUUUCUUUCUCCUCGUAGAUUUUUGUACAGUUAUCCACAUGAGGAGCGGGGAGCUUUGUGGAAAAGGGAAGAAGAGAUGCAACUGUGGAGCAGAUGACAUUGGAGAAUAGACAAGCCCAAGAGGACUCACACCAAGAGAAAUUUUGAUAGCCAAAGGGCAACGUGAAGGCAUUGAAGUAACACGGAGAUUAAGAGAUGGUACUAGUAGCAUGCAGACGAAACAAAAAAUAAAAUUUGCUUUAAAAUUGGGCUUUGUAUUGGUUCUUUUCAUGGUCUUCCUUCCUUCCUUCCUUCUUUCCUUCCUUGCUUUUCUUUCUUUCCAUUUUUUCUUUAUUUUUGUAUAUCUGGAG
rnacentral:lncRNA from 1 species